GACUGAGCGGCGGACGGGUGAGUAACGCGUGGGUAACCUGCCUCAUACAGGGGGAUAACAGUUGGAAACGGCUGAUAAAACCGCAUAAGCGCACAGCAUCGCAUGAUGCAGUGUGAAAAACUCCGGUGGUAUGAGAUGGACCCGCGUCUGAUUAGCUGGUUGGUGAGGUAACGGCCCACCAAGGCGACGAUCAGUAGCCGGCCUGAGAGGGUGACCGGCCACAUUGGGACUGAGACACGGCCCAAACUCCUACGGGAGGCAGCAGUGGGGAAUAUUGCACAAUGGGGGAAACCCUGAUGCAGCGACGCCGCGUGAAGGAAGAAGUAUCUCGGUAUGUAAACUUCUAUCAGCAGGGAAGAUAAUGACGGUACCUGACUAAGAAGCCCCGGCUAACUACGUGCCAGCAGCCGCGGUAAUACGUAGGGGGCAAGCGUUAUCCGGAUUUACUGGGUGUAAAGGGAGCGUAGGCGGCGGAGCAAGUCAGAAGUGAAAGCCCGGGGCUCAACCCCGGGACGGCUUUUGAAACUGCCCUGCUUGAUUUCAGGAGAGGUAAGCGGAAUUCCUAGUGUAGCGGUGAAAUGCGUAGAUAUUAG
rnacentral:rRNA from 1 species